rnacentral:rRNA from 1 species
AUUGACAAAAAGUAAUAGCUAUAGAGUCACGAAUGGGGGCGAGCUAAGCAAGAUAUGUUUUGUGUACCAAAUACGUUGUAUAGUAUUUAGAAAAUAUGUGUUUAGGAGUGAUAGGCCUUUCAAGCUCUCUGAUAACUUGAUUCAUAUGAAGGGUAUUAAGUACAUAAAUAUAUUUAAAAAGUUAAGCUUUUAAAUAUUUAUUAAAAAUAUUGUUUGAUUGAACAUAGUAUAAUAGCUAGUUAUUAUUAAACUUAAUAUUACAGAUACGUUUUUAUAGUAAAUAAUAUGACAAUUAAGAUUAUCUUUACUAGUUGAAAAUGUUAAUAUUAGUAGUAUAAGUAAAUGUAUUAAAGGAACUCGGCAAAUAACUUCUCAACUGUUUAUCAAAAACAUAGCUAUAUGAAUUAAUAUAUAGUUAUUUCUGCUCCAUGAUUAUUAAAUAGCCGCAGUACUCUGACUGUGCAAAGGUAGCAUAAUCAGUUGGCUCUUAAUUAGGGUCUGGUAUGAAAGAAAAUAUGGGUAGUAACUGUCUUAAUACAUUUAUUUGAAAUUAGUAAGCAAGUGCAAAUACUUGCAUGCAUAAAAAAGACGAGAAGACCCUAGAAACUUGAAAUAAGUUUUGUUGGGGCGACAAAAUUACAUUUAACUAAUUUUAUAAGACAUGACACGAAGUUGAAAGAGUAAGUUACUCUAGGGAUAACAGCAUAAUUUUUAUAGUUUGUGACCUCGAUGUUGGACUAGGUAUUAUAUCUUUAAGGCAAAGUUAUAAAAGGCUCUGUUCGAGCGAAUACACCUACAUGAUCUGAGUUCAGACCG